GUCCUGUUCUGUGCUGUGGAAUGUUUGUUCUUUUGGUUUUUGCAGUGAAUCUUGCUGCUGCUCACUCUUCGGGUCUGCACUACCUUUAUGAGCUGCAAUACUCACUGUGAAGGUCUGCAGCUUCACUCCUGAAGCCAGGGAGACCACAAGCCCACCGGGAGGAACAAACAACUCCGGACCUGCCACCUUUAACAGCUGUAACACUCACUGCCAAGGUCUGCGGCUUCACUCCUGAAGUCAGUGAGACCACGAACCCACCAGAAGGAAGAAACUCAGGAAACAGCUGAACAUCUGAAGGAACGAACUCCAGACACACCGUCUUUAAGAACUGUAACUCACGGGCACGGUGGCUCAUGCCUAUGAUCCCAGCACUUUGGGAGGCUGAGACGGGCGGAUCAUGAGAGGAACACUCACCGUGAGGGUCUGC
rnacentral:lncRNA from 10 species